CCCUUAGAGUUUGAUCCUGGCUCAGGAUGAACGCUGGCGGCGUGCCUAACACAUGCAAGUCGAGCGAAGCACAUGAAUACUAUUCUUCGGAUGAGGAUUCUUGUGACUGAGCGGCGGACGGGUGAGUAACGCGUGGGCAACCUGCCUUACACGGGGGGAUAACAGUUAGAAAUGACUGCUAAUACCGCAUAACACCACAAAACCGCGUGGUUUGGUGGAAAAAACUCCGGUGGUGUAAGAUGGGCCCGCGUCUGAUUAGGUAGUUGGUGGGGUAACGGCCUACCAAGCCGACGAUCAGUAGCCGACCUGAGAGGGUGACCGGCCACAUUGGGACUGACACACGGCCCACACUCCUACGGGAGGCAGCAGUGGGGAAUAUUGCACAAUGGGGGAAACCCUGAUGCAGCGACGCCGCGUGAGCGAUGAAUUAUUUCGGUAUGUAAAUCUAUAUCAGCAAGGAAGAAAAUGACGGUACCUGACUAAGACCCCCCGGCUAACUACGUGCCAGCAGCCGCGGUAAUACGUAGGGGGCAAGCGUUAUCCGGAUUUACUGGGUGUAAAGGGAGCGUAGACGGCUUGCCAAGCCAGAUGUGAGAGGGUGGGGCUCACCCCCAGGACUGCAUUUGUAACUGUCAUGCUAGAGUGUCAGAGAGGCAGGCAGAAUUUCCUAGUGUAGCGGUGAUAAUGCGUAUAUAUUAGGGAAGAAC
rnacentral:rRNA from 1 species